rnacentral:rRNA from 1 species
UGGGGAAUAUUGGACAAUGGGCGAAAGCCUGAUCCAGCCAUGCCGCGUGUGUGAAGAAGGUCUUCGGAUUGUAAAGCACUUUAAGUUGGGAGGAAGGGCAGUAAGCGAAUACCUUUCUGUUUUGACGUUACCGACAGAAUAAGCACCGGCUAACUCUGUGCCAGCAGCCGCGGUAAUACAGAGGGUGCAAGCGUUAAUCGGAAUUACUGGGCGUAAAGCGCGCGUAGGUGGUUCGUUAAGUUGAAUGUGAAAGCCCCGGGCUCAACCUGGGAACUGCAUCCAAAACUGGCGGGCUAGAGUAGGGCAGAGGGUGGUGGGAUUUCCUGUGUAGCGGUGAAAUGCGUAGAUAUAGGAAGGAACGCCAGUGGCGGAGGCGAGCGCCUGGGCUCAUACUGACACUGAGGUGCGAAAGCGUGGGGAGCAAACAGG